GCUUUGCUUGCCAACACCCUCACAAUAUAGGCAGGGAAAAACAGGAACCCAGACCUUUGUUGUACUUACACUGUGAAAUUUUAUGAUGGAGUAGUUCAGACUGUCAAACAUAUUCAUGUCAAAGCUUUUUCCAAAGAUCAGAAUAUUGUGGGUAAUGCUAGGCCUAAAGAAACAGAUCACAAAAGUCUUCCAUCAUCUCCUGAUAAACGAGAGAAGUUUAAAGAACAGAGAAAAGCAACAGUGAAUGUGAAGAAAGACAAAGAAGAUAAACCCUUAAAGACAGAAAAGCGACCCAAGCAGCCUGAUAAAGAAGGAAAGUUAAUCUGUUCUGAAAAGGGGAAAGUGUCAGAGAAAAGUCUUCCCAAGAACGAGAAGGAAGACAAGGAAAACAUUUCUGAAAAUGACAGAGAGUAUUCUGGAGAUGCCCAAGUGGAUAAGAAACCUGAAAAUGACAUUGUGAAGAGUCCACAAGAAAACUUGAGGGAACCCAAAAGAAAACGAGGCAGACCCCCUUCCAUAGCUCCUACUGCUGUGGAUUCAAACUCUCAAACUUUGCAACCAAUAACAUUGGAACUGAGAAGAAGGAAAAUAUCAAAAGGAUGUGAAGUCCCAUUAAAACGUCCUCGGCUUGACAAAAAUUCAUCCCAGGAAAAGUCAAAAAACUACUCGGAAAACACUGACAAAGACUUAUCGAGGAGACGUUCCUCCAGGCUGUCCACUAAUGGGACCCAUGAGAUCCUAGAUCCUGACUUGGUUGUAUCAGAUUUGGUUGAUACGGAUCCUUUGCAAGACACGUUGUCUAGUACCAA
rnacentral:sRNA from 1 species